rnacentral:lncRNA from 1 species
UAAAUCAGUUAUACAAUGUAGGACCUCACUCUCACCAUCUGUUAAAAAAGAAUAAGGAAAAAAAAAGGACUUUAAACAAUAACAAAAUAGAAUUACUACAAAAUCCACAGCAAUUUAUAUAGAUCCCCUGAAAUCAAUUAAGUAGAAUACUCUACUCCAAUUGCCACGCCAAAAAAAUGAAACUGAAAUGAAGUAGCUAUUUUCAUGUGUAUAUUAAUUCCUCGUUUGACACUCCUCAAUGUACAUACCACACGUUACACAGCUCUUCAAAUUCCAUUUGCUCUAAUCCCUGUCAGGCUACCUUCCCUAGAAAAUUUGCAGUUCACCUAAACCGCAUAUGCCUAUGGUAAACUGAACACCGGAGCAUCACGUAUGCCUAUGCUAACCUAAACGACACCAUAUGCACAACUCUGUUAGCAGAGUCAACCAUUUACAUCGUAAAAGGUAAAAGAAAAAUUUUCCCUUCUACCUUUUCACUCUCAAGCUCUUUCCUCAGUCUUCUCAACUCAUCUUCAAGUCCUCACUCAUUAUGAAGAGUGGACCUUAGUUUAUAAAUUGUAAGUCUAAAUGUAUUUCAGUAAAAGCAAAUUAAAAUUCUAUUGUAAAAUUUGAAUUGUAGUUGUUAGCUAAUCAAAUUAACAAAGCCAAUAAAUUGACAAUAAAUCUGAAGUUAUUUAGUUAGAAUCAAUUUAAAACCUUAACAUGAUUGUCCAAAAAAAAAUUAACAAAAAAGAGCUCCGUCCUGUCAAGGGAUGCGUUAAAAACACAUUAAUCAUUAUAAAUUGAUAUAAUAAUUCCCGUAGACACAAUACCGAUUGUCAUCAAGUUUUAUUUGAAAAAAAAAAAAAAGCAUCAGAGAGCCUAACUUUUAGCAAUUCAGUUCACAAAAAAUAAAAAUUACUAUGAUAUGGAUAUUUUUCUGGUAAGCAUCAUGCAUACAGCCUCAUAAGUUUAAGACUUAAAAGUAAGAUAGUGACUUCUAAUGAGACCAUGCCUCUGUUUUGACACCUGAUAGGAUUUUUAGGUUCUUUCCGCUAUAAGUUUCAAUUCAGUUUUGAUUC